CACUAUCGUUAACUGAAUACAUAGGUUAACGAGGCGAACCGGGGGAACUGAAACAUCUAAGUACCCCGAGGAAAAGAAAUCAACCGAGAUUCCCCCAGUAGCGGCGAGCGAACGGGGAGCAGCCCAGAGUCUGAAUCAGCUUGUGUGUUAGUGGAACGGUCUGGAAAGUCCGACGGUACAGGGUGAUAGUCCCGUACACCAAAAUGCACAGGCUGUGAACUCGAAGAGUAGGGCGGGACACGUGGUAUCCUGUCUGAAUAUGGGGGGACCAUCCUCCAAGGCUAAAUACUCCUGACUGACCGAUAGUGAACCAGUACCGUGAGGGAAAGGCGAAAAGAACCCCGGCGAGGGGAGUGAAAAAGAACCUGAAACCGUGUACGUACAAGCAGUGGGAGCACCUUCGGGUGUGACUGCGUACCUUUUGUAUAAUGGGUCAGCGACUUAUAUUCUGUAGCAAGGUUAACCGUAUAGGGGAGCCGCAGGGAAACCGAGUCUUAACUGGGCGUUAAGUUGCAGGGUAUAGACCCGAAACCCGGUGAUCUAGCCAUGGGCAGGUUGAAGGUUGGGUAACACUAACUGGAGGACCGAACCGACUAAUGUUGAAAAAUUAGCGGAUGACUUGUGGCUGGGGGUGAAAGGCCAAUCAAACCGGGAGAUAGCUGGUUCUCCCCGAAAGCUAUUUAGGUAGCGCCUCGUGAAUUCAUCUUCGGGGGUAGAGCACUGUUUCGGCUAGGGGGUCAUCCCGACUUACCAACCCGAUGCAAACUACGAAUACCGAAGAAUGUUAUCACGGGAGACACACGGCGGGUGCUAACGUCCGUCGUGAAGAGGGAAACAACCCAGACCGCCAGCUAAGGUCCCAAAGUCAUGGUUAAGUGGGAAACGAUGUGGGAAGGCACAGACAGCCAGGAUGUUGGCUUAGAAGCAGCCAUCAUUUAAAGAAAGCGUAAUAGCUCACUGGUCGAGUCGGCCUGCGCGGAAGAUGUAACGGGGCUAAACCAUGCACCGAAGCUGCGGCAGCGACACUAUGUGUUGUUGGGUAGGGGAGCGUUCUGUAAGCCUGCGAAGGUGACCUGUGAGGGUUGCUGGAGGUAUCAGAAGUGCGAAUGCUGACAUAAGUAACGAUAAAGCGGGUGAAAAGCCCGCUCGCCGGAAGACCAAGGGUUCCUGUCCAACGUUAAUCGGGGCAGGGUGAGUCGACCCCUAAGGCGAGGCCGAAAGGCGUAGUCGAUGGGAAACAGGUUAAUAUUCCUGUACUUGGUGUUACUGCGAAGGGGGGACGGAGAAGGCUAUGUUAGCCGGGCGACGGUUGUCCCGGUUUAAGCAUGUAGGCUGGUUGUCCAGGCAAAUCCGGAUAAUCAAGGCUGAGGUGUGAUGACGAGGCACUACGGUGCUGAAGUAACAAAUGCCCUGCUUCCAGGAAAAGCCUCUAAGCAUCAGGUAACAUCAAAUCGUACCCCAAACCGACACAGGUGGUCAGGUAGAGAAUACCAAGGCGCUUGA
rnacentral:rRNA from 1 species